rnacentral:lncRNA from 1 species
UUUUUUCUUUUCUUUUCUUUUUUUUUUUAAAGGAAAGUUUUGGUUUCUAAUUGAAUUUGAUAUGAAUUAGAGGUUUAGGGUCAAGAUUAGAUUCUCGUUGCAAUUUUAUUAUAUCUGUUGGGAAGAAGCUGAUGUCAUAAUCUUCAAUUGGAAAUGGAUUUUUCUGUCUUUCUUGAUUCUAGAAUAUGGUAAUUUUAGUUUCGCAUAAUUGAUCACUUAGAAAAUUAUAGUUUUAUGUCAAAAUACUAAUUUGCAAACCUCUAAUCCAGUUGAAUUAAGACAGAAUUCAAACUGACUGCAUUUUUCUGAAUUGCACUUGAGUUUAUUGUUUCUUUUAUGCUUUUUCUACUGUUAGUGACUGCAUAUUUCUCCCUUUUACCUUAUCGUGCAGAGAAAGUUAACAGCGGAUUGUCAUGACUUUUAAUUUUCCAACCUUUCCUGAGGGCUGUUUAGAGUUAAAAUUUUCCAACCAUUUUUUAGUUUUUGGUGUCAAAAGUAUAAAAAAAAGUUAAAUUCUAUCUGAAUCCUAAGUUGCUCUUCCAUGGCGAUCCACCAAUUAUAAAGUACUGACCCUCUGGAAAUUAGUCUCACCCCUUCACCUCCCUUAAGAAAGGGUGGAAGACAAGGCUGGCUAUCAUUUCUCCUAAGUUAUAAACCAGUGGAACAUUAAUUAAAAAGGUGCAGUGGAAGAGUUAAUCAACAAGGAGUGCUUAAAUUUGAACUAUUUAGUACUAGGGGCAUUUUUACUGCAUUUGUACUUUUUUUUUUAAUGGAUGCGAAUACAUUUGACCUUUAUAAUAAAUAGUUCAAAAUUUUAUCCUCUUUAAUAAAUAAACCAUCAUUGUGCUCCCUUUAUGACCAAUACGUCAAGGUUAUAAAUCAGUGGUUUCUGUUGUACUCUAUCCAAUGCCUUGUUCUUCUUGAGGCCAAGAUCAAUAAUGUCCCAUCUCCCAUGGGUCCAGCUGGCUGGGCUUUUAUUUGUCUAUAAAUUAGAUAAAUUGUACUUGGUGUUCCUGAAUUCCCUGACUCCCGUAGCUGAUCCAAUUACCAAGCAUCAUUCUUAUGUUUGUUGUUUGCUUAGAGUACCUUAACUUAGCAGUACUUCUCUAUUUUCUAUCAUUUGCCGUUUAAUCCUCGCCUUCAAAAAUUGUCUUCUUUAUUGUAAAACUCUUCCAAUGUAGAUACUUUUUGACGCAGCACGAACACGUGGUGGGCACAACAGCGUUGUAGAAGGGCUUAUAUAUUGAAUAUCACCGAACUUAAAAUAGCAACUUGAAAUAGGCUGGCAGAUUAUGCUUAAGAAGGUAAAACUGGUUGGUAAUUCUAGGAAUCACUCCUAGGAAUCUUUAGGCCUCACACCUAAAGUUGGGAUGCAUCACACAGCCCUAAGAGAGACGUUAAGUCUGCAGGAAUAUUUUAUUAAUGACCAGAAACUGCCUUCUCUUUGUGGAGAAGUUGAUAUUCAUAGACACUAGGACAAAUCCCUUUCCAAUCCUAAUUAGGAUUCCUAACUAGAAUAGAAUUAUAACUAGAAAGCUAGAAGGCUAAGCUUUCUUAUUCCCUAUAACAACCAAAUUACUAAUUACCAAGAACAACUACUAAACAAAGAAUUACUGUAAACAUAAAAUUCCUGCAGCUAAUUCAAAUUACUAAAAUAUCCCUGCCGACAGAAAUCAGAAAAUAAACUCCAUAGGAUUCAGGCCAACUCCCAAGUUGGUUCCUUGUCAUCAAAAGCAUGCCAAAUCAAUGCCUGGGCAUUCGACAUAUCCUUCCCACGUCUCCUAUAAACCUUAGUGGACUUUUGCAACUUAUCGCUAUCAUCUCCCCGGCUUGAAAAGACUCGACCCCGACAAGUUAAUGGCCUGAUACCUCUCAUAGAAAUCUGGAUCCAACUUCUGAAAUUCAGAUUCGGUAAUCCAUGUACAAUCUGUGCGUGGGCGUCCCCUCCAAUGAACAAGAAACUUUUGGUAACCACCCCCUCUAGUGGACACAAUUUGGUGGUCAAGAACAUCUUCAAUUGCUUCACGUAAGCGUGUAGGAGGUGGAAGAGCAGCCUUAGAAGUCCCACCUGCUGAAUCGUCUAAAUGCCCAUUAUAAGCAGUCAAAUCUUCAAUAUUGAACACAUUGCUAAUCCCCAUAUCAUCAGGUAACUCAAGAACAUAAGCAUUUGAGCUGAUUUUCUUGAGAACCUUGAAGGGGCCUGCACUUCUUGAAUGUAGCUUCUUGUAGACGCCCUUAGGAUACCUCUCUGGCCGAAUACGAACCAUAACUUCAUCCCCUUCUUCAAAUUCUGCGAAUUUCUUCUUCCUUGUCUCGAUCACUUCAUUAACUCCUGGCUUCUCUUGUUUGGUUGAUUUCUUCUCAUGAAACUUCUUCAUAGUUUCAGCACUCAUAGGCUUUAAGACAAUCUGCUGGUCAUUAAACUUGAAUGGGUAAGUAUUUGACUUUCCAUUAUGAUUCACAUCUCGAUCAUAUAGCCAAGGUCGACCAAGAAGUAUGUGGGAAACGGUCAUUGGAAUAACAUCACACCAUAUAGUAUCGCUGUAAGGUCCAUGUUUAAUGGACACCAAGCAACGUCUCGUCACCGGUAUAGAGCUACUGUUGAUCCAAGCAACCUUGUAAGGUUCAGGAUGUGGCUCUGUAGGCAAAUUUAACUGUUGUAUGGUAGAUUCUGAAACCACGUUCAUGCUGCUGCCACUGUCAAUAAUUAGCUUUCUAAUCUCUUGCCCACAGCACACUAAGGUUUGAAAGAUUGUAGUUCUUCGCCAGUCUUCCUUUUGUGACUUUGGUGCACUAAGGAGACGCCUCACAACUGAGAGAUAAGACGUGUCUUCUUCUUUGUCUUCCAAAUCAUCAACAUUAAGUUGCGCUAUCUCAGUGAAAUAAUCAGCACCUUCAUCUUCCUCGACCUCUAGAUUUUCCUUAUCUCUGAAAUCGGCGCCAAGGUGCAAGUUCCUCUUGUUCGGGCACUCCCAUGCCAUGUGUCCCUUCAAACUACACUUGAAACAUCCAUCUUUGUUCUUGUUUCUUUCAUCGAUUGUGGAAGUCUUAGUCUUGGUCUCCGCAGGCUUGGAAGUUGCUUGAGCUGCUGCUGAUCUAUAUGGCUUGCCGUUUGCAGUGAAUCUUUUAGGAAUUUCCUCCCCACCUUGAGUAUUGAUCCUCUUAAGUGGUGGCUGCUGCAGGCUCUUUUCAAGUCUAAGAGCUGUUUGGAAUGCAUUGUCAACUGUGUGGAUAUCCCGUCCCAUCAAUUCUUUGCGAAUUUCAGGUCUCAAACCCAACUUAAAUCUGGAUAAAGCUUGUGCUGAACUUUCGGUGCCUCCGCAGCGAAUUUUCAGCUCCUCAAACUUAGUCAUAUAUUCAGCAACUGUCAUUCCUCCUUGCCUUAAGCUAGUCAUGUCAUCAAAAAGGUCAGCUUCAUAGUGUAGAGGCACGUACUUUCUCUUCAAACGCAGCUUCAUCUCUUCCCACGUCAAGUCUAGUUGUCCAGCAAGUCGAAGAUCAUGCUCGACUCCUGUCCACCACACCUGGGCUUGUCCAACAAGUUUCAUGAUAGUAAACUUAACUUUUCUCUCAUCAGUCAUAUCAUACCAGUCAAAAUAGCGUUCCAAAGUAGCGAGCCAAUCAGAAAAGACUUUAGGAUCAAUUCUUCCAUCGAAAUCGGGGAUAUCUACUCUUACCUUUUUUGUGAUGUCUCCUGCGAAAUCAUAAGAGUCUUGUCUUCCUUGCCUUGCUGAUUGAACAAUCUCAUCAGCCAUGUCAAAAAGAGAAGCUUGUGGCCUUCCAAAAGAUUGAUUUAUUCUAUUUUCACUCCUACUAGAUUGUUUCCCGAUUAUGUGUUCAGGCUGUUCGAGAUGCUCAGGUUCCUUUCCAUUGUUUUUGUCCCCAGAUCCGGGCUCACCGUUGCCUCCAGAUUCAGGGAUUUGCUGUUGCUCGGUAUUAAAGAUUUUGUCUUCUAACACAGCAACCCUCCCUAAGAGAAGAUUAAUGAUGUUAUCCCGUUCCUUGUCUGUGUAUCGACCUCUAAAAUUCAACCCACUUCUUGUCGUCAUGGGAAAGCCUUGCUCUGAUUACCAAAAUUGACGCAGCACGAACACGUGGUGGGCACAACAGCGUUGUAGAAGGGCUUAUAUAUUGAAUACCACCGAACUUAAAAUAGCAACUUGAAAUAGGCUGGCAGAUUAUGCUUAAGAAGGUAAAACUGGUUGGUAAUUCUAGGAAUCACUCCUAGGAAUCUUUAGGCCUCACACCUAAAGUUGGGAUGCAUCACACAGCCCUAAGAGAGACGUUAAGUCUGCAGGAAUAUUUUAUUAAUGACCAGAAACUGCCUUCUCUUUGUGGAGAAGUUGAUAUUCAUAGACACUAGGACAAAUCCCUUUCCAAUCCUAAUUAGGAUUCCUAACUAGAAUAGAAUUAUAACUAGAAAGCUAGAAGGCUAAGCUUUCUUAUUCCCUAUAACAACCAAAUUACUAAUUACCAAGAACAACUACUAAACAAAGAAUUACUGUAAACAUAAAAUUCCUGCAGCUAAUU